UACCCAUAAACCUUUAAGGUUUUUCAUUGUUAAUGAAAACAAGAAAGAUGAUCAUUAA
rnacentral:tRNA from 1 species